ensembl:lncRNA
GGUUGUGACAUCUUGGGGGACCUUGUAGAUUAGAGGAGAGACUGCAUUUAUAGAGCUAGCUAAUCCCUUAGAGGAGGUAGAUUGCUUGCUGGAACAUGUCUAGUUAUGCAAAUGUCAUCUGACUCAGUGUCAUAUCCCACCCACCUGCUUAUCUAACUCACACACCAAGCCAAUAGCUGCUCCUCCCUAAUCACCCUAAAUCAGGUGCCAGACAAUUGAAGAUAGCUCCUAUGGCCUAGAGCCCGCUGGAAUUACGCAAAGGAGCCCAUCCCAAGUGGUGUACACUGUCUCUCCUUUUCUGCAGAAACUCGAGUAAAGGCUGUGGCUUAGGCUUUCCGCUUAUUCCUGCUUCUGCCUCCUGAUCAAGACCUGACGCCUCCCCUGUGGCCCUAAGUGGCGUGCUGUGUCCCCUUCUCUCAGGAAGGUCUUCAGACUUGGAAUGAGACUUACACCAGCAGCCCCAUCCCACCCCCAACCCCCUUUCUUGAGCUUUUGACCUUCGACUCAAUGGCACCGCCAGCUUUCCUGCUUCUCCAAAAGGCAUAUAGACAGAUUGUGGGAUUUCUCAACCACCAUAAUCAUAUCUGCAAGAAACAUAUGUACCAGCUGAAUGCCGCUGAAGAAAAUCGUUAUAGGAUUAGCAGUUUUCUGACCCACUUACUAAAAAAAAGCCGAAUCGCUCAAUUGAGACCCCAGGGAAAUGCAGAUUUAUACCUUUGACGUAUUACUUGGUUUUUCUUCAAUUAACUUAAAUUCUGUAACCAGUUUUUAAGUCCUUGCCAUCUUCUUUUCUUUUAAUUGGGUGAUUUUAUAUGCCUUAUUGAAUAUAAGCCUUUGCAAAUUCUUGGUUUUUCUAAGUGCAAAUGUAUAAUGAAACCUGCAUACGGCUUUCUUCUAUGCAAUUAUUUUCUAAACCCAUCAGGAGGACUGCUUCUCUCCCUAAUCCUUUCCUUUACUAGAUUGGGGCUGGAUGGGUGGAGUGGGCAGUUGAGAAGAAAAGUCCAGUGCUCUUUGCUUCCAGAUGGGAAUUGGGGGAGAUGGGGAAGAGGGUCUCUCCACCUGUGGCCAUAGUGGUGCAAUAGAUGAGAGGCGCUUCCAUUCCCACAGGCAUGGAGCCAUGAUCAGCUGUUUCCUGUCUCCUGGCCUUGACUAACGCUUUUCCAACCACAAGGAACAAGCCUUUUCCUCCUGUCAAGUACUCUAGCCCUUCUCUUCCAUCCAGUGUAGCUUUCUUUAAGAAGGUUUCUUUCAGUUGAGGAAUCUCUCUUUAUUUUCAAGCCCACUGAUACAAUUCCUGACCAACAUCUCCACAACUCACUCUUACAACUGCUGUGUUUAUGCUGAUUACAUGCUUGUCUUAUUUCCCUGUACAGGCCAGAUGUCCUCGGCCACAAACAAAUCCAAGGGCCUGAUUGUGGAAUUCUCUUUUUUCUGGCUUUCUUGUUUCUGGCAAUAGCACCAUCAUUCUA